CGAUGACGGCGGAGGAGGCGAGGUCAGCCGCGGAGGAGGCGAGGCGGCGGCGAGGCAGGCAGAAAGGCGGCGGCGGCGACGAGGCGAGCGCGAGGCAGGGCGGAGGGGCGGCGGCGAGGCGAGCGCGGCGGCGGAGGAGGCGAGGCGGCAGCGAAUGACCUGGAGCCUGCCCCGGCCCUACCACGCCCCGCCACGCUCGACACCCGCCGCGCCCGCCGCCGCGCUCGCCGCCCGU
rnacentral:sRNA from 1 species